UACGUAGGGGGCAAGCGUUGUCCGGAAUCAUUGGGCGUAAAGCGCGUGUAGGCGGCCCGAUAAGUCCGCUGUGAAAGUCCAGGGCUCAACCCUGGGAUGCCGGUGGAUACUGUCGGGCUCGAGUCCGGAAGAGGCGAGUGGAAUUCCGAGGUGUAGCGGUGAAAUGACGUAGAUAUCUGGAGGAACACCGGUGGCGAAGGCGGCAUCCUGGACCGGCAUUGACGCUGAGGCGCGAAAGCCAGGGGAGCAAAGCGGG
rnacentral:rRNA from 1 species